UACGUAGGGGGCUAGCGUUGUCCGGAUUUAUUGGGCGUAAAGAGCGUGUAGGCGGCCUGGUAGGUCUGCUGUGAAAACUCGAGGCUCAACCUCGAGAUGUCGGCGGAAACCAUCUGGCUAGAGUCCGGAAGAGGAGACUGGAAUUCCCGGUGUAGCGGUGAAAUGUGUAGAGAUCGGGAGGAACACCGGUGGCGAAGGCGGGUCUCUGGGCAAUUCCUGACGCUGAGGCGCGAAAGCGUGGGGAGCAAACGGG
rnacentral:rRNA from 1 species